UACGUAGGGGGCGAGCGUUGUCCGGAAUCAUUGGGCGUAAAGAGCGUGUAGGCGGCUUGGCAAGUCUGACGUGAAAGCCCGCGGCUCAACCGCGGAUUGUCGUUGGAAACUGCCUCGCUAGAGUCCGGAAGAGGAGAGCGGAAUUCCUGGUGUAGCGGUGGAAUGCGCAGAUAUCAGGAAGAACACCCGUGGCGAAGGCGGCUCUCUGGGCCGGUACUGACGCUGAGACGCGAAAGCGUGGGGAGCGAACAGG
rnacentral:rRNA from 1 species